rnacentral:rRNA from 1 species
AGUGGCGAAGGGUGAGUAACACGUGGAUAAUCUGCCUUCAGGAUGGGGACAACCACUGGAAACGGUGGCUAAUACCGAAUAAGAUGGCAUGCUACACAGGUAGUAGUCAUUAAAGGUGGGGACCCUCGGGCCUACUGCCUGAAGAUGAGUCCGCGGCCCAUUAGCUAGUUGGUGGGGUAAAGGCCUACCAAGGCGACGAUGGGUAGCCGGCCUGAGAGGGUGAACGGUCACAUUGGGACUGAGAUACGGCCCAGACUCCUACGGGAGGCAGCAGUUAAGAAUCUUGCGCAAUGGGCGAAAGCCUGACGCAGCGACGCCGCGUGGACGAUGAAGGCCUUCGGGUUGUAAAGUCCGACAAACAGGGAAGAAUAAACAAGAGGUAAUAUUUCUUGUGAUGACGGUACCUGUCUGAAGCCCCGGCUAACUACGUGCCAG